GUCCAGGGUAGCCUAGUGGUCAUGGCAUCUGCCCGGUAAGCGGAAGGUCGUAAGUUCGAUUCCCAUCCCUUGACA
rnacentral:tRNA from 1 species